UACGUAGGGGGCAAGCGUUGUCCGGAUUUAUUGGGCGUAAAGAGCGUGUAGGCGGCCAGGUAGGUCUGCUGUGAAAACUCGAGGCUUAACCUCGAGAUGUCGGCGGAAACUAUCUGGCUAGAGUCCGGAAGAGGAGAAUGGAAUUCCCGGUGUAGCGGUGAAAUGCGCAGAUAUCAGGAAGAACACCAAUGGCGAAAGCAGCUUUCUGGGACGGUACUGACGCUGAGACGCGAAAGCGUGGGGAGCGAACAGG
rnacentral:rRNA from 1 species